rnacentral:lncRNA from 1 species
CUUUCUCAGUUUUUGCAUCGCAUGUGAGGGUUUGUUGGGUGCUCCUAAACCCUCAUCAUGGUCAUUCUUCUUGGCUGGGCUGUUGAUUUAAUUAGGAGAAAAACCUUCCCGGAAGCUGCAGAAGGACAAAUACAGAAUCCGUGUCUGGGAGAAACCUCGUGGCCUGGUCUCCAUUAUUUGAGAUGAGUUACAUCUUGGAGGCCUGAUCUUUUGGCCAGAAGGAGAUUAAAAAGAUGCCCCUCAAGAUGGCUGUGCCUGUCAGCUGCAUGGAGCUUCGUUCAAGUAUUUUCUGAGCCUGAUGGAUUUACAGUGAUCUUCAGUGGUCUGGGGAAUAACGCUGGUGGAACCAUGCACUGGAAUGACACACGCCCGGCACAUUUCAGGAUACUAAAAGUGGUUUUAAGGGAGGCUGUGGCUGAAUGCCUCAUGGAUUCUUACAGCUUGGAUGUCCAUGGGGGACGAAGGACUGCAGCUGGCUGAGAGGGUUGAGAUCUCUGUUUACUUAGAUCUCUGCCAACUUCCUUUGGGUCUCCCUAUGGAAUGUAAGACCCCGACUCUUCCUGGUGAAGCAUCUGAUGCACGUUCCAUCCGGCGCUCAGCUGGGCUUGAGCUGACCAUACUCCCUGGAGCCUUCUCCCGAGGUGCGCGGGUGACCUUGGCACAUACAGCCAUCAUGAUGGUACUUUAAGUGGAGGCUGAAUCAUCUCCCCUUUGAGCUGCUUGGCACGUGGCUCCCUUGGUGUUCCCCUUUUACUGCCAGGACACUGAGAUUUGGAGAGAAUCCUGUUACACCUGGGAUUUAGGCACUUUCAAUCUGAAAAAAUACAUAUCCUUUCAGCACUCUGGACGGACUUGAGAACUGUCCUUACGUGACCUAAAGCUGGAGUAUUUUGAGAUUGGAGAAUUAAGAGUGUGGGCACCCUGGCUUCAAGCUCACGAGAAACCAGGUCGGGAUUUAAACAAUGUUGGGUUAAAGCAAAGUUUCAUAAAGACAGAAUCAAGAAAAAAAGAAAGAGAAA